rnacentral:sRNA from 1 species
AGGGCGCGAUAUCGACGCCGCCCUGGCUCAUAGAGAACCAUUUUGGCUCGGUGUUUCCAUCGUAGGGCGCACCAGCCUU